rnacentral:rRNA from 1 species
GAUGAACGCUGGCGGCGUGCUUAACACAUGCAAGUCGAGCGAAGCGCUUAAGUUUGAUUCUUCGGAUGAAGACUUUUGUGACUGAGCGGCGGACGGGUGAGUAACGCGUGGGUAACCUGCCUCAUACAGGGGGAUAACAGUUAGAAAUGGCUGCUAAUACCGCAUAAGACCACAGUACUGCAUGGUACAGUGGUAAAAACUCCGGUGGUAUGAGAUGGACCCGCGUCUGAUUAGGUAGUUGGUGAGGUAACGGCCCACCAAGCCGACGAUCAGUAGCCGACCUGAGAGGGUGACCGGCCACAUUGGGACUGAGACACGGCCCAGACUCCUACGGGAGGCAGCAGUGGGGAAUAUUGCACAAUGGGCGAAAGCCUGAUGCAGCGACGCCGCGUGAAGGAUGAAGUAUUUCGGUAUGUAAACUUCUAUCAGCAGGGAAGAAAAUGACGGUAC